GACGAACGCUGGCGGCGUGCUUAACACAUGCAAGUCGAACGGAAAGGCCCUGCUUUUGUGGGGUGCUCGAGUGGCGAACGGGUGAGUAACACGUUAGUAACCUGCCCUUGACUUUGGGAUAACUUCAGGAAACUGGGGCUAAUACCGGAUAGUAGCUCCUGCUGCAUGGUGGGGGUUGGAAAGUUUCGGCGGUUGGGGAUGGACUCGCGGCUUAUCAGCUUGUUGGUGGGGUAGUGGCUUACCAAGGCUUUGACGGGUAGCCGGCCUGAGAGGGUGACCGGCCACAUUGGGACUGAGAUACGGCCCAGACUCCUACGGGAGGCAGCAGGGGGGAAUAUUGCACAAUGGGCGGAAGCCUGAUGCAGCAACGCCGCGUGCGGGAUGAAGGCCUUCGGGUUGUAAACCGCUUUCGCCUGUGACGAAGCGUGAGUGACGGUAAUGGGUAAAGAAGCACCGGCUAACUACGUG
rnacentral:rRNA from 1 species